UACGUAGGGGGCGAGCGUUGUCCGGAUUUACUGGGCGUAAAGAGCGCGUAGGCGGUCCGAUAAGUCGGCUGUGAAAGUCCAGGGCUCAACCCUGGAAAGCCGGCCGAUACUGUCGGACUAGAGUCCGGAAGAGGCAAGUGGAAUUCCCGGUGUAGCGGUGAAAUGCGCAGAUAUCAGGAGGAACACCGGUGGCGAAGGCGGGUCUCUGGGCCGUAACUGACGCUGAGGAGCGAAAGCGUGGGGAGCGAACAGG
rnacentral:rRNA from 1 species